CCUAGAUGUAGGAAAGGGCUUAGGACGUAGAGUGUUAUGCCAAAAACGGUUUCGGCCUCAAACCCAAUGCAAGUAUUCAAACAUCGGAUCCAAUUCAAAAGCCAAGACGCCAAUUCUUAUCUUCACGUUCGCUCAUCUUCACGCUUCAAUCCCAUACACGAAUGAUGAACCUUCUCCAUCAUUUUCACGCUUCAAUCGAUUCGGACUCCUCGUCAUCUUCACCGAUCCGGAGUCAGAGGACUUACCGAAUUGAAGCUCCGAUUGCGAACAUAUAUGAAUCCUUUUCUUUAUUCCGAAUUGCUUUUCUUCUUCUUCUUCUCACAAUCUUCUGCAACUUCUUCUGAUAUACUGUAAUCCGCGUGCGAGAGUUGAUUUUGAGAAUUUGCUUGGUUGAAUAAGCGAAGGUUUCUCUAUGAUUAUGCAGGGUGAACCGAGAGUGAAGAGGGAAGAAUGAAGUUGCAGAAAGUUCUGAGAUUAUGAUUGUUCUCCGAUUGAUGAUGAGUGAUCUGAAUUUAAAGAGCUUUCUCCCUCCGAUUCUAUUAGAAAUCCAGAUUGUAAUUGCUUCUGGAAUUGUCGAGGAUCAAUGCAUAGGGUGUCACAACAUGAUCAAGACUAUACUGGCAUUGAGAAAUGUAUUCAGUGUUCAUCGGGAAAAAAUUUAGCGCAUCUUCCGCAUGAGCCUGCUCAACUGAGUCAACAUAAUUGCAAUUGGAAUAAAAUAACAAAGCGGUGUUGAUGACCA